CUCACGAAAAUGAAGAACUAGAAAGUCAUAUAUUAAGACUAGGAACCACCUCCUUGGCUGGCUCAAUCUCCCUUGAGCUAGCCAUUUC
rfam:Providencia sneebia DSM 19967 chromosome, whole genome shotgun sequence.